CAGAGAAUCUUGCCCUCUUGGGUGAAUCUCCAACCCUGUGUUAUCUAUCUUUGUUGCUUUGGGAGCCGCUUCGGCCACUGGCUUCGGCUUGUGUGUGCUCCCAAGGGACCUUAAAUUCUUUAUUAUUAGUGUCGUCUGAGUACUAUUAAAUAGUUA
rnacentral:misc_RNA from 1 species